rnacentral:rRNA from 1 species
CACGUAGGGGGCAAGCGUUGUCCGGAAUUAUUGGGCGUAAAGAGCUCGUAGGCGGUUUGUCGCGUCUGCUGUGAAAACCUAAGGCUCAACCUUGGGCUUGCAGUGGGUACGGGCAGACUAGAGUGCGGUAGGGGUGACUGGAAUUCCUGGUGUAGCGGUGAAAUGCGCAGAUAUCAGGAGGAACACCGGUGGGCGGAAGGCGGGGUCUCUGGGCCCGUAAC